CUCCACUUUGACUGGGGAUGAAGUGACAUUUGUUAAGCAGCAAGCAGAAGAGAAAGAAAUGGUGGGCACUUCCUGUCUGUAGCCAUCUCCUUGUUUUCCAUCAAGUACACCUGAACACCACUCAUGUUGACAAAUACUUGCUGAACUCCUGCUAUUCACCAAAGAUUACCUGAGGCCCCUUCCUAGGCACCAAUGAGCAGAUAGAAAGAAGACUGGAAGCUAGUGUCUACCCUUAGUCACUGUAUUACUAGGCAGAAUUUGAUGGCCUAGAGAGAGUUCCACAGGCCACAGGAAUUCAGAGAAGAUUCUCCUGCCAGGUAUUCAGAGCAGCCGCAUGGAGGAGGUGGCCUCUGCAACUGGACCGAGAGUGGCAGGGAGGCCACCAGGCCCUGGGAAAGGAGGAGCAAAGGCACAGAUUCGCAGCUUGUAUUAUCCCCGUAAACCACGGCUUCACUGCCACCACCUCCUCAGCUACAGACAGCAAGUCCUGCCGUGCCUGCUGGUCCUGAGCCUUCCUUCUCUCUCUUGAGUUGACAUGACAGUGUCUUGCCUCCUGCCCCUGCUGGGUGCCAUCUGCCUGGAGACUGCUUAUUGCCCCU
rnacentral:lncRNA from 1 species